CCGACGGUGAGAGACGAAAGCUGGGGGAGCAAACCGGAUUAGAUACCCGGGUAGUCCCAGCCGUAAACGAUGUGCGUUAGGUGUAUCGGUGACCACGAGUCACCGAGGUGCCGAAGAGAAAUCGUGAAACGUACCGCCUGGGAAGUACGGUCGCAAGGCUGAAACUUAAAGGAAUUGGCGGGGGAGCACCACAACAAGUGGAGCCUGCGGUUUAAUCGGACUCAACGCCGGGAAACUCACCAGAUAAGACAGCUGAAUGAUAGUCGGGCUGAAGACUCUACUUGACUAGCUGAGAGGAGGUGCAUGGCCGUCGUCAGUUCGUACUGUGAAGCAUCCUGUUAAGUC
rnacentral:rRNA from 1 species